UAGUUCGGUGGCAUCGUCUUUCUUGAAAGCAUGUUUCUCUUGCGGGGAUGACCCUACUUAAGUUCCAGAAGAACCUGCUCAAAACUCUGUUAAGUACUUAACUUGGCAUAGAACUACAUCAUCUCGAUCUUCCUCAUCCAGAAACCCUGUGGGAGCAAACUCAAGAGAUGAUACAGAGGCAUUUGCAAAUAAUCUCUUUAACACGUCUUGUAUGAUAUCCAGAAGCCAUGCAUCAACUUUGGAUAGGCUAUAAGCCUGGGAAAGGAAGCUCUAUGAUGAAGUGAAGGCUAGUGAGAUUGUCAGGAAGGAAUAUGACACGAAGUGUAAAAUCUUGAGGCACCUGGAAUCAAAAGGAGAAGAGACUCAUACAAUUGAUAAAACUUGAGCUGUCGUUAAGGAUCUGCACUCAAGAAUCAGAGUUGCGAUUCACAGGAUUGACUCUAUAUCAAAGAGGAUUGAAGAAUUAAGGGACAAAGAGCUUCAGCCACAAAUUGAGGAGUUGA